rnacentral:lncRNA from 1 species
UUUUUUUUUUUUUUUCAUAAAAGUUUCCCCCUUCAAGUCCAGGCAGUCAAAUAAUAAGCAUAUCUAGAUCGAGAUUUAUCUAAAUUUAUCUAGACGGAGACUUUCUGAAAUGUAUGUAAAUUUCUAUAAUUGCAUAUCUAUAAUUAUAUAAUUACAUUCAUUUCUACGUAGAUUAAAUGGUGGAAUUUAUACACACACACACAUAUAAAAACUUCUGAGUUCUGUUUUCUUUUAAUCUUCCAGAAGGAUGAUCAGUGGACUUUCACCCAUAAGGUAACAUUUCAAAACAGAAAUUGCUUCGCUCGUAACUAACAUUGUCUGAAACACAGUUACAGUAUAAUUAUUCACCUGAUAGGGCUCUGCAGUCAAAGCACAGACUCAUAGAACAUUCUGUGUCUAAAGAAAUCAUCUUUGGGAGGCUUGGCGACUUCUGGGUCUGAUCAAGUGAAAUCAUCUCCCGGGUAGCCACAUUCCAUCCCCGCAAGGAGAAUUCACUUCCAAUGAACAAUUGAAUGGCUACCAGUUUUCCUAAAUGACAAAAGAAGACCUAAGGUUUAAAGGCCAGACUCUCCCAGAGGUGUAAGAACACGAGAUGCACCUUCUCCAUGUGUGUGGGUACCAAGCUUACUAAUUGCAGGCCCAGUAAUUGCAUCUUCCAGAUGUGUCCAAUCCUGUAUGUAAACUCACUGCCUGGAGCCUUUUGAACAAACAAGCCCUUUUUUUUCAGGGUGGGGGGCAGGGGAAGGGAAGUCUAACAGACAGCUGGGUUUCCCCAGCACUCCUGGGCCCUGCUAGUCAUUUGGCUACAGUUUUGCUUCUCUUGAAAAGUCUUCUCCUGCCUGGAUCACCCCAUUCCAGCUCACCCUUGAAUGAGUCAUGAGGCUGCUGUUCACACCCGGCGUCGAACUUUCUGCAAAGCCUGUGAUUCUGUGGUCCUGCUCAGAGACCACCAGACUUAAACUCUGCCCUGAGUAGCUAGGAGUUCCCAGACUUCCUUUCCCCCCCACCUUUUUUUUUUCUUUUUAGGGCCACACCUGUGGCAUGUGGAAGUUCUGGAGCUGGGAGUGGAGUCAGAGCUACAGCUUCAGACCUACACCACAGCUCAUGGCACCACCAGAUCCUUAACCCACGGAGCGGGGCCAGGGCUAGAACCUGCAUCCUCACAGAUACUAGGUUGGGUUCUUAACCCACUGAGCCACAACAGGGACUCCAGUGUUCUUACUUGUAAAUGCUCCUCUUUGUAAUUCUGACCAGUGAGCUGUAACACAGCAAGAAAUGAAGGAGGAUUUGUUUCACCUCAAGACAUGAUUCCUCAAAUGACCGCAUCCUGUUAGAGGUAAACGUAGCUGUUUAAUAGGUUAAUUACAUGAGAAACAGAGCGAUUAAAAGAAAAUAGGAGACAGCUAGCCAUUCCUUUUAGUAAUUAGUAGACUAGAGCAAAGUUAUUUGUCAUGGCAGUUAUUAAGCUUGAGCUGUUGCUUAAGCAAAGAAAUCCUACCUUGCCUAACCGUUAGCACUAGCUAAAGGUUAGUACUGGCAUGGUUGAGGGGCUCAGGGUAACACAAUAAGUAAUAAGCCACAGAUUUUUCUAAAAUCCGUUCAAUCCUUCUGCACCCGGCAUGCACUCCAUAGCUCCUACUGGCUCCAACACAAACCACUGGAAGAAAAUUCCUUUUUGUUUAGGCUCAUUGCUUCUAAAGUAUGCAGGGCUGUUAACUUGCAGCAGGAGAACAAUGGAUGUUCUCACUGGCUCCUGGAGAUAAGACUCGAAUUCAAAAAGAUCCCUGUUCGUAUGAAUGGUAUCUAGGCUGGACUCCUGCCAGCCACAGCGAAUUGAAUGUGUGCAGGUGGAUUUGGCUGGCCUGUCCCAAGUCUUACCUACACCCCCUUGGAGUGUUCGGCCACCCAACCACAGAGCAAUUACAGUGGCUUCAGGAAUGAGGUGAACGAUGAUCAAAGCGAGGCCCUCCUAGUGUUUCAGAGACCAGACCAUCCCAAAGCGUUCCAUCAGGGGCCAGACCACCCUCUCGGCAGCAACGUUAGGAGACCAGAAAAACUGAUGGUGGUUGAAUGAGGUAAACUGGAAGGAGCUCUUCCAACCUUGCAGUGCUGUGAAAUGGCCUUAUUCCAAAUCAUUUCUCAGCAUUCGGAGAAAAUUAUGGCUUCUGAAUUAACUCAAAAAAGAGUUCCAAAAUGAUGCUUGGCUCAGCUGGAUGAUGUUACAGAAAGAGAAAAGGUGAGAUCUGUCUUAAAGGGUCACAGAGCCAAAUACAAAUAGGAGUAAUCAUGAUGGUAGUUGUAAUAAUAAUAAUAAUAUCAAUAGUAUUAAUAAUAUAAUAGUAAUAGAGCCUCCAAAGUUAUUCCUCUCUUUUUCUUGUGACCCAGUGAAAUUCACUUUUCUUUAGAGCAACCUACCCCGUGUUUUAGUUAAGCUAAUCUCCGAGUCAAUUUUCCUUCUCUUGGAGAAAAAAAAAAAUUAACUAGGCUACAGCAGCCAAUGGAAGCUGAAGAUGUUUUGUGACAGGCUGAGUUUUGGAGAAGAAAAUCUGGAAAAAACAAACACUAGAUAAUCUAGACAAAGAUAAUUCGGAGCUGAUGUUCCUUGGUAGAAAAUGCCAUUGACUUUGAUGCUGAUGCUGGAAGCGCGAAAAAUAAACUUUUCCUAACUGUACGCCACUAUACUGGGAAUGUUAUCUUUUUG